rnacentral:rRNA from 1 species
UACACUCCUACGGGAGGCAGCAGUGGGGAAUUUUGGACAAUGGGCGAAAGCCUGAUCCAGCAAUGCCGCGUGUGUGAAGAAGGCCUUCGGGUUGUAAAGCACUUUUGUCCGGAAAGAAAUCCUUGGCUCUAAUACAGUCGGGGGAUGACGGUACCGGAAGAAUAAGCACCGGCUAACUACGUGCCAGCAGCCGCGGUAAUACGUAGGGUGCGAGCGUUAAUCGGAAUUACUGGGCGUAAAGCGUGCGCAGGCGGUUUGCUAAGACCGAUGUGAAAUCCCCGGGCUCAACCUGGGAACUGCAUUGGUGACUGGCAGGCUAGAGUAUGGCAGAGGGGGGUAGAAUUCCACGUGUAGCAGUGAAAUGCGUAGAGAUGUGGAGGAAUACCGAUGGCGAAGGCAGCCCCCUGGGCCAAUACUGACGCUCAUGCACGAAAGCGUGGGGAGCAAACAGGAUUAGAUACCCCAGUAGUCCCA